rnacentral:rRNA from 1 species
CCUACGGGAGGCAGCAGUGAGGAAUAUUGGUCAAUGGGCGCGAGCCUGAACCAGCCAAGUCGCGUGAGGGAAGACGGUCCUAUGGAUUGUAAACCUCUUUUGUCGGGGAGCAAAAGACGCCACGCGUGGCGUUCCGAGAGUACCCGAAGAAAAAGCAUCGGCAAACUCCGUGCCAGCAGCCGCGGUAAUACGGAGGAUGCGAGGGUUAUCCGGAUUUAUUGGGUUUAAAGGGUGCGCAGGCGGAAGAUCAAGUCGGCGGUAAAAUUGGGAGGCUCAACCUCUUCGAGCCGUUGAAACUGGGGUUCUUGAGUGAACGAGAAGUAGGCGGAAUGCGUGGUGUAGCGGUGAAAUGCAUAGAUAUCACGCAGAACUCCGAUUGCGAAGGCAGCAUACCGGCGCUCAACUGACGCUCAUGCACGAAAGUGUGGGUAUCGAACAGGAUUAGAUACCCUUGUAGUC